CUACAAAUACAUCUAUUCCAUAGAUCCUCAAUAGAGAAAUCAGAGUCAAAUUUUCAGGAUUCCUAUCUCAACCUCCUGGAAGAUUUAUUGGAAGUAAAUAAAUGUGCUUGUGAAUUGAU
rnacentral:lncRNA from 1 species